rnacentral:rRNA from 1 species
CCCAGACUCCUACGGGAGGCAGCAGUGGGGGAUAUUGCACAAUGGGGGAAACCCUGAUGCAGCGACGCCGCGUGGGUGAAGAAGUAUUUCGGUAUGUAAAGCCCUCUCAGCAGGGAAGAAAGAAGACGGUACCUGACUAAGAAGCCCCGGCUAACUACGUGCCAGCAGCCGCGGUAAUACGUAGGGGGCGAGCGUUAUCCGGAUUCACUGGGUGUAAAGGGAGCGUAGACGGCCGUGCAAGCCAGGAGUGAAAGCCCGGGGCCCAACCCCGGGACUGCUCUUGGAACUGUGCGGCUGGAGUGCGGGAGGGGCAGGCGGAAUUCCUGGUGUAGCGGUGAAAUGCGUAGAUAUCAGGAGGAACACCGGCGGCGAAGGCGGCCUGCUGGACCGCGACUGACGUUGAGGCUCGAAAGCGUGGGGAGCGAACAGGAUUAGAUACCCGAGUAC